ensembl:lncRNA
UAAAGAAUCAUAAAAGUUAGAAGAGGAAAAGGAUUGCUACAUCGCUUAGUUUUGCUAAUGUAGGAAUUUCUCUAGAGUAUAUUUGUUCUUCAUUGGCUUCUCAAGUCCAUCUUAGAAUAUGCAUAAAUGGGUUUCUGCUAACUCAGAAAUACCCCUGGGUCAUAUUUAUUUCUCAUUUGCUUCUUAGGUCCACCUCAAAAUGGAUGCUGAUGGAUAGAGCUCAAUGCAUUAACUUUGAUGGUGCAGAAACAUAUCAAGGGACUCUCUUUAUGUCUUUUGAAAUACAUUUUCAAUUUUCAGGUUAUUUUGCUACCCUCAAUGUACUUUCUUUUAACUUACACCAUUACCUAGAGUAUAAAGCCUUUUUAUACUACUCUAUUACUAGUAACUUUCAUGUGUUUGAAGAUGGUUAUAACAUUUUUCUCAUUGAACUCCUUGCUAAUCAAUUAAUAAGAAUAGAGUAAAAUAUUUAUUCAAAACCACUCAGACUCCCAGUGAGCAAAGAUGCAGAAAAAAAGAAUAAUAGAAGAAAGCAUGGAGUAAGGCAUUAUUCAAAGGUCUCUCCAAAAAGCUUCCCUGAGUGAAGCUUUCUCCUAUGAAGCUAGAACCUUCUGAUACAGCCUAAUUUGGAAGGCGAGGACACUAAAUUGUUCCAUUAAUGUGGAGCUGUCAUUGGAGUAAUGGUGACAGUCUUUAGUUUCUGGGGGAGUUUAUUCCAUGCUGACCCCUGUGCAGGUAUCUCUGAAAGAGACCUUGCUGGAAAGGAAUGGUCUAAUGUAGAUCAGUUAUAUUGUUCCAUACACCAUACUGGGACAGUUUCAGAGAUCAUCUUUUCUGUGUGAGAAAAUGCAAUAGUAAAGAAGAAGCAUGGACCUUGGUCAGAGAAGUAGCUUUGUACCAUGAAGUAGCGACCUUUUAUCUGAUUCAAGAUAACUGGAUUAUUUGUUUUAAGUGAUCCUUAUUAAUAGAGCUUGGGUAUUUAUUCAUAUAGCUAAACCCAAACCUCAUGAUACAAGAGAUCAUUUUGUUACAGACCUGUGUAAAAACAAUCUAUUGUUGUAUAUACAGUACUGUUCAAGAUUCUUAAUGCCAGAGUAUCAGAUUCUCUAAGGACUCUUAUCUUCAAAAGCUGCUGCACUAUCCUUUUCCAUUCCUGAACAGAGGGCUUGACCAGGGCUGGCCUUCUAGUCACUGAUAUGCACUGGAACAGCCUUGACUGACAUGUUGUGUUAGUAAAGACUUUAAUCAAGAGUGUUUAAAACUAGCUGGAGGCUGCUCAGCAAAACUAGCUGAUCUGGAUGAGCAUAACUAAGCUCACAAUUAAAGAAUAGUUUUAAAUAAUGCUGUUGUUACAUUAUGAAUGAUUUUUCUGUACAAAAUAAUAUGCUGUCUGUGAAUCUAUUAACGUAUGCAAUUACACUGGCUAGUUUGCCUAGCCACAUGUUUUAUUUUAAAUUAAUCAAACCAUUGGUCAAAAUUACAGGGAUAAGUGAGUUUGGCUCAAAUCAAUGUCAUGGCACACAGUUAAUAAACUUAAUAUUCUGUGUGACUUUUAAUGUAAAAUUGUUUUAAUUUUGUUCACUUCCUCUUGCCAGAGAGACUUGCGGGACAAUUUUUCAGAUAAUUUAGAUGUGUAGUUACUGUGAUUAUACAGACAAUUGUGUGAUAAGUUAUUGUAAGCUGGCAUUUCAGUGUUUACUCACCCAGCUGGCAUACAUAAAGAAAGUAAUUACAGUCACACAUUAGUCCCAUAAUCACAUACUUAAAGUGUUCUAAAAUCUGGUUCUGACUGUCCAAGUGUA